UCACUACCUUUUAGCUUUAUUCGUGCCCUCUUCUUUGCUUGUUUAUUCUCAUGGGUUAUUCUAUGUCGUUGUCAUAUUCAUCGUUUGCUGCCUUGCUGGCUUGCUGGCUUAUGUAUUUACUCACUUCCUUCCUUCCUUCCUUCCUUCCUUCCUUCCUUCCUUCCUUCCUGGCACGGUCUUCCUCUGUCUCUGUCGCCCAGGAUUACCCCAGCCUCCACGCUUUGGACCGACCAAAGAGGUCGUCCUGCCUCUGAUCCCUCCCAUCCCCGUUACCUGGGACUACAGGCACGCACCACCACACCGGCUGACUUUUAUGUUGUUUCUCAUGUUUUCCGUAUGUAGGUAGGUAGGUGUCGUCUCACAUGUCGACGUGAUCUCAAACUUUUAGGCUCCAGCGAUCCUCCCACGUCGGCCUGCCAGAGUGCUGUGAUGACACGCUUGGGCACGACGGGGUUUCACUCUUGUCGCCCAGGGUGGAGUACAAUGGCGCGAUCUCGGCCCACCGAAACCUCCGCCUCCCAGGUUCAACUGAUUCUCCUGCCUCAGCCUUCCCGAGUAGCUGGAAUGACAGGAAUGCGCCAUCAUGCCCGGCUAAUUUUCCUAUUCCUAUUUUCUUUUUUUUUUUUUUUGAGACGGAGUCUCGCUCUCUCGCCCAGGCUGGAGGGCAGUGGCGCAAUCUCGGCUCACUGCAAGCUCCGCCUCCCGGGUUCACGCCAUUCUCCUGCCUCAGCAUCCCGAGUAGCUGGGACUACAGGCGCCCGCAACCACGCUCGGCUGAUUUUUUUUUUUUUUUUUUUUUUUGUAUUUUUAGUACAGACGGGGUUUCACCGUGUUCGCCAGGAUGGUCUCGAUCUCCUGACCUCGUGAUCCACCCUCCUCGGCCUCCCAAAGUGCUGGGAUGACAAACAUGAGCCACCGCACCCGGCCAAUUUUCCUAUUUUCAGUACACGUGGGGUCUCUCCAUCUUGGUCAGUCUGGUCUUCAACUUCUGACCAUUGGAGAAUUUUAACUUUCUUGGUGGUUCUUUCUCUUUUUGUGUUGUUUUUCUUUUCUUUUCUUUCCUUCUCCUCCCCCACCCCCACCCCCACCCCCCAUGUUCUCCUCCUCCUCCUCCUUUUUAAUUUUUUUCAGCUGGGCUCUCCUACUUGUGUUGCUCAGUUGCUCACGCUGGUCUCAAACUCCUGGCCUUGACGCUUCUCCCGUCACCUCCACCGUCUGGUUGUUGAAAUGAGCAUCUUUUGUAAAAUGGAAAAGAUGAAAAAAAUAAAGAGAAAGACAACAAGCCCGGAGUGCACGUUUCUUUUGCCGUCUCCCAGGGUGUACCUUGGACCCGAUAAGACGGAGGGAGCUUGGCUGAGUGGGUUCCCGGUGCUAAAUCCUCCUGAGGGCCUCCUUCCCUCUCCCCCCUGUCCCCGCUUCUCCCCCCGCCAAGUCUCCCACCGCCGCCGUGGCAUUUUCCGUAGGAGAGGUAUGGGAGAGGACUGACGCGGCUUCCAGAUCUGUAUCCUGCCACACGUCUCUGCCUCGGCGUCCCCCACCGGCUACCUGCCAC